CCCUUCUAGCCCAUAGACCCAAGCUUCUGUUUAGGGAAAAAUAUUGACCAGAGAAACACUGAUCCAGAGACACUGUAGGAGUGAAGUGAGAGGGAGAGCUAUUAGAAGCAGACUCAUACCAUGUAUGAGCUAUGUUGGGACCAAGGUAUAUACUCAAAUAUGGGAGCCCAGACUCUUCAAAAGGCAAACAGACAUCAAAAAAGGUAGGCUUCAGCUAAAUUAGAGAGAAAUCCAUCUGAGUGCUUUCCUGCAAGUAACCCCCAUGCCUAACUUGAUCACCCACUGAGGAAGACAAGCUCAUUUUAUUUCUGUCCUAGGAGUAGGGCUUAGGCUGCUGGGAUGUGGUUCUUUGGACCUACCAAACCCCUGUUGCCAAAAUAAUUUGAAAUUAAGUGCAAAUUAAGCCAAUUAAGUGCUGGUUCAGAUGGAGGUCAGUGCCUCUGGUAAAAGAUACAUGAAAAUAGGAAGAAUUAAAUGAGUCAUAAAAGUAGAGAAGGUGGGAAGAAGCACCCAAGAGAAAACCAUGUGUUUGUGAGGCCAUUUCUGCUGAGUCAUCAGCAGAGACCAACAAAGACCCAACAGGAGUAGGGUGAGGAAGAUAGGGGCUAUUUAGCUAUAUGGCCGUAGCCAUGAUGAAGAUCUGCUGCACCUUUUUUGAUUCCCUCUGUGUACUGAAUAUCUGCACUGUAGCCCAAGGUUAAGAUGGGCUCCUUGCAGCUCUGAUGACCCUUCAUCCAUCUCAGGUUGUUGGGAGGACCCACAAUGCAGCUUCAUCCUAUUUUACAGAACAAGUACAUUGAACAUUGCAGCAGUGCAAGGGCUCUUCUCAGGAGAACGAGACAACUUUCAGUGCCAAAGGAGGAGUAUGGUCAGCAAUGUGAGGAAGCGUCCUGCGGCCUGCUAUGCCCAAUGGAAGCCAAGGUUCCUGACCUAUGAUGUACCUAUUGCAAACUUCUGUGACCCUGACCCCUUCUCCGGACCCAAAGUGAUGUGGCAGGGGAUUGCUCUGGAGCUGCUCACUUGAACUAUGGAUAAGCUCAGACAACUGCAGUUUCUAGGCUGUAUGUCUGCAUGUUGUCAUAUCUGGGAGGGUACUGAAUUGCUCAUUUGCAGACACCUGCCUCCAUGUGUAUUCCAUUGCUGAUAGACCUCCAAAUUAAGAACCCUGUUCACAUGCACCAAACUAACUUUGUCUUCCCCAUAGUCCUCUUUUGAUCCUGCAGCCUGGAAAAGGUGUGGCUACUUUCACACCCCUGGGGCAAAGACAGCCCAAUGGAGGAGGAGGAGGACUUCACACCUUCAUUCCUGCCAGCCACAGCUGGUAGGAGGUACAUCUGGGACAGAAAAGCAGGGAGCUGUGAAGGGA
rnacentral:lncRNA from 1 species